AUUGAACGCUGGCGGCAGGCCUAACACAUGCAAGUCGAGCGAGCGGCGGACGGGUGAGUAAUGUAUGGGGACUGCCCGAUAGAGGGGGAUAACUACUGGAAACGGUAGCUAAUACCGCAUACUAUCGGAUAACCCAUAUGGGAUUAGCUAGUAGGUGAGGUAAUGGCUCACCUAGGCGACGAUCCCUAGCUGGUCUGAGAGGAUGAUCAGCCACACGGGGACUGAGACUCGGCCCAGGUUCCUACGGAGGCAGCAGUGGGGAAUAUUGCACAAUGUGCGCAAGCCUGAUGCAGCCAUGCCGCGUUGAUGACGAAGGCCUUAGGGUUGUAAAGUACUUACAGUCGGCAUGCGUUGCCGACAGAUGUAGCACCGGCUAACUCCGUGCCAGCCGCCGCGGUAAUAC
rnacentral:rRNA from 1 species